rnacentral:rRNA from 1 species
UACGAAGGGGGCUAGCGUUGCUCGGAAUCACUGGGCGUAAAGCGCACGUAGGCGGCUUUUUAAGUCAGGGGUGAAAUCCUGGAGCUCAACUCCAGAACUGCCUUUGAUACUGAGAAACUUGAGUCCGGGAGAGGUGAGUGGAACUGCGAGUGUAGAGGUGAAAUUCGUAGAUAUUCGCAAGAACACCAGUGGCGAAGGCGGCUCACUGGCCCGAUACUGACGCUGAGGCACGAAAGCGUGGGGAGCAAACAGG